rnacentral:lncRNA from 1 species
AUGGGCGGUCGCUAUGCUAACGAGGGCCGGGAGCGGGGCAGCCGUCAAAGAUGGAGCCCGAGCGGCGGCGGCGGCGGCUGUGGGAGUGGGAGCGGGAGCGGUACCCUGAGCAAUUGGGGCGGCGGGCUCCACCGAGUUGCGGCCUCGCCCCACGCCCGACCUGAGCCGCGCCCCCGGAGCGGGCUGGGGGCAGGCGGCCCCCACGGCCCUGGGAGGGGAUGGGGUCUCUGGGCCCGACACGCUCCUGGUGGCCAGGGCCCUUUUCUUGUUGCCCUGCUGAGCCAGCGAGGGGGCAGUGCAAUGUUAAAAGGGCAUUGGCCGCCAGGACAGGCCGCCGGGAACCAGCGCGGCCCUCGCCCAGGCCGGGCCCCACCAGGCCCCUCUCCUCACCGCCCCCCCUCGGUUUCCCCCUUCCUGGCCGCCCCGCCUCGGGUCACCAGAGCUCAGACCUCUUUCCCUCUAGGGGCCCCCCACACUGGGGGUGGGGCCAGCCGGGCCUCCAUUAGCCUCCCAGCCCUGGAAGGUCAUCCUGUGUCUGGACUGGGGGGUGGGGGGGUGGCUCCUCUCCCUUCUCCCUCUGGCCCCUCCCCUCCCGGCCCUAGGGGCCUCCCUCUCCCCUUCUGUUCGGCCUUCCUGCCCUGGUGGCUCAGGGAAGAGACUGAGGCAGGUAUGGGGGGAGCCGGUGGAGGCAGGGUCCACUGGGCCCCCCCAAGGCCCAUGGAAGUCAUUUCCAUUCUCUGGGCCUCGGAUUCUUAGGGGAACCCCCCCCCCCAAAGCCUGGGCCCUGACCCUGUUUGGGCCCAGGCCAGCCUCCUGGUCCUCCCUCCCAGGGUGGGGGCCGGCCCUGAGCCAGGCUUCUCUGCUGGGGCCCCCAGACAGCUGGGGUGGGGGAAGGGCCAGCCUGAGGCUGCUGACAUUCCCCAAAUGCCUGGGGGCCCCUCCCGGUCCUGUCCCGGCCUGUGGAGCCAGGCAGCUGGCCCUGCCCCCUGCCCGGCCCCUGUCUGGGCUGUUGGGGGAGGGGAGGGCUGCCCACCUCCCCUUGGCCUGGGCCUGCCCGAAGCUCUUUCCCUGUUGCCCUGCUGUCCGGUCACCUAGCAGUGCAAUUGUGAAAGGGCAUUGGUGAGGCCUACCUCGGAGGAGCAUCGGGACAGCUGGGAGCCCUUAGAUGGACGAGGAGCUGGCAGUCCACAACCACUGUGUGCUGGGCCUGGAGUUCCAGUCUGGCCUCGCUGGGUGACCCUGGCAAAGUCCCUUCCCUUGUUGGCCUCGGUUUCCUUCCUUCUGUCACAUGAGAUGAAGAAAUGAGCAGCUAUCCCAGGAUCCUUUCCCAGGAAAAGACCCACCAGGGUCAGGAAGGACUGGGCCAACGGCUGAGCUCUCAGAGACCGAAGAAGCUCCCUGGAAGUCACUCAGUACCUCUGCCUCACUUUCCUCACCUGUGCAAUGGGAACGAUUGUGGUUGUGGGAUUGGGAUAACUGUAAAGUGCUGGUCACACAGUAGGUGCUUAAUAAAUGCUCGUUCUGGA